AAGUAAAUAUUUUUUUGCUUAUAUAUCCUCUGUAAUAUGGUCAGAAAGUCUCUACCGGGCUGCCGUAAAUUGUCCGACUAUAAGCGUAUUUUCUCU
rnacentral:ncRNA from 1 species